AUUGAACGCUGGCGGCAGGCUUAACACAUGCAAGUCGAGCGGGGGAAGGUAGCUUGCUACCGGACCUAGCGGCGGACGGGUGAGUAAUGCUUAGGAAUCUGCCUAUUAGUGGGGGACAACAUCUCGAAAGGGAUGCUAAUACCGCAUACGUCCUACGGGAGAAAGCAGGGGAUCUUCGGACCUUGCGCUAAUAGAUGAGCCUAAGUAGGAUUAGCUAGUUGGGGGGGUAAAGGCCUACCAAGGCGACGAUCUGUAGCGGGGCGGAGAGGAUGAUCCGCCACACUGGGACUGAGGCACGGCCCAGACUCCUACGGGAGGCAGCAGUGGGGAAUAUUGGACAAUGGGGGGAACCCUGAUCCAGCCAUGCCGCGUGUGUGAAGAAGGCCUUAUGGUUGUAAAGCACUUUAAGCGAGGAGGAGGCUACUCUAGUUAAUACCUAGGGAUAGUGGACGUUACUCGCAGAAUAAGCACCAGCUAACUCUGUGCCAGCAGCCGCCGUAA
rnacentral:rRNA from 1 species